UCCGUAGGUGAACCUGCGGAAGGAUCAUUAGUGGGUUUCGCGUUCGCGCGUGAUAUUAUGUUCAUCAUCAACUCCUGUUGUCGCAUGUCAUGUUUGAAUAAAUAUUGUUACAACUUUCAACAACGGAUCUCUUGGCUUUCGCAUCGAUGAAGAACGCAGCGAACGUGCGAAACGUAAUGUGAAUUGCAGAAUUCAGUGAAUCAUCGAAUCUUUGAACGCAUCUUGCGCUCCUUGGCAUUCCGAGGAGCAUGCCUGUUUGAGAGUCGUGUAUUACCUCAACCCCGCUCGGGGUUGGAUUUUGGACGCCUGUGGCAUGUGUUUUGUUGCCGCUCGUCUUGAAAUGCAUUGGUCGUCAUCCCCCAACCUGUGGCCCGAUCUGACGGUGUUUGAUAAAUGUUUACGUUUUAAAACGCUCGAGCCGGCCUCCCCGUGGGUGGUAUGACGAUGGUACCAUAAUACAUUACAUACAACCCCGACCUCAAAUCAGGUAGGACUACCCGCUGAACUUAAGCAUAUCAAUAAGCGGAGGAAAAGAAACUAACAAGGAUUCCCUUAGUAACUGCGA
rnacentral:rRNA from 1 species